rnacentral:misc_RNA from 1 species
ACCCCACCUAUCUGUUCCUUAUAAAGGAAACGACAAUAUCCAGUCCUCAGCCCCAAAAGCUGCUGAACAUGGUCCUGUUGCUCCAUCACCUACUUCUGCUUUACCUAAGCCUGUGGGUCAUAAUGGUCCCAAAGCUGCACCAGCUCUGCAAAAAAAGGUGGCGAGCUUAGAACUUUUGAAGGUAGAAUUGCGCAAGAAGCAGGAGCUGCUUGAUCAGAAGCGCAGUGAGUUCCGACGUCAGUUGAAUAAACUUGAGAA